UACGUAGGGUGCAAGCGUUGUCCGGAAUCAUUGGGCGUAAAGCGCGCGUAGGCGGCCCGGUAAGUCCGUUGUAAAAGUCGAAGGCUCAACCUUCGAAAGCCGAUGGAUACUGCCGGGCUAGAGUCCGGAAGAGGCGAGUGGAAUUCCUGGUGUAGCGGUGGAAUGCGCAGAUAUCAGGAGGAACACCCAUAGCGAAGGCAGCUCGCUGGGACGGUACUGACGCUGAGGCGCGAAAGCGUGGGGAGCGAACAGGAUUAGACUACCCGUGG
rnacentral:rRNA from 1 species